GAUGAACGCUGGCGGCGUGCCUAAUACAUGCAAGUCGAGCGAACGGACGAGAAGCUUGCUUCUCUGAUGUUAGCGGCGGACGGGUGAGUAACACGUGGAUAACCUACCUAUAAGACUGGGAUAACUUCGGGAAACCGGAGCUAAUACCGGAUAAUAUUUUGAACCGCAUGGUUCAAAAGUGAAAGACGGUCUUGCUGUCACUUAUAGAUGGAUCCGCGCUGCAUUAGCUAGUUGGUAAGGUAACGGCUUACCAAGGCAACGAUGCAUAGCCGACCUGAGAGGGUGAUCGGCCACACUGGAACUGAGACACGGUCCAGACUCCUACGGGAGGCAGCAGUAGGGAAUCUUCCGCAAAGGGCGAAAGCCUGACGGUGCAACGCCGCGUGAGUGAUGAAGGUCUUCGGAUCGUAAAACUCUGUUAUUAGGGAAGAACAUAUGUGUAAGUAACUGUGCACAUCUUGACGGUACCUAAUCAGAAAGCCACGGCUAACUACGUG
rnacentral:rRNA from 1 species